UGCAGGUGCUGGAGCCACCCUGGCAUAGGGCCCUGCAGAAAGAGAACGGGCCUCAAGCCAGGACCCUAAGCACCUUCUGCUGGAGAGAGAACUUAUGAUCCCCAUUUUCCACCAAUGGAAGCUGAAGCCCUAAAAGAGUCAGUCUCCUCCUGCACCCAAAGGCAGGGCAUGAAGGGUGCUGCUGGGGCUUGCUAGCCCUAGGCCUGCCCCUAGGAGGAAGAGCAGCUGAUCCAGUACGUGCAUGACAGGAGCGAGAGACCGGCAAAUAGUUUUGUCCUGAUGGCUAGUGCCUCUGAGAUGGACCGCGAGUGCCAUCCUGUGGCCUUCACUGUCACCAUCCUGCCUGUCAAUGACCAACCCUCCGACCUCACCACAAACUCAGGCCUGCAGACCACGGAGUUCUCAUCUCGGAGCCACUGGCCAGUGUGUGCUCCUGUGAGGACCAGAACACACUGAUGGAGGAGUUGGCAGAGCAGGCACAGCGGCGGCGCCAGGAGAUGCUGCGCAUGCACCACGUGCUGAAGGAGGGGCUCAGCAUCAUCCGCGACAUCAACACAACCACCGUCAGCAUGUCCAAGCGCCUGCCCGUGGACGACUCCUGGCUGCAGGUGUAGAGCAUCCCGGACGAACGCAGAGUUUCUGUUUAUUCUCAGUUAAUAUCCAGCUCAAUAGAUUGUCACCAACCAUGUGCCUAGAGCUAACUGUGUCAAGAAGAGCAUGCUUCAGGUGGCUGCAGUGAGCAGUUCAACCUGUGGAGGAAUGAGAAAUGAUAGUGUUGAGACAAGAAACACAAAACCCCAGGGUAAGGUAGGAAUCACUGAAAGUCAGGCAAAGGAACUGACAUCCAGUGAUGAGUCAGGCUUUGCCAGCCUCUGGCCCUACAGAUGGCUCUUUGGAGAGGAAAAAAUUAAGUCAGACCCGAGGGCACAGAUCCUGAGGGAAUGCCGGCAGCUCUGGGCUGUCUGUGAGAGUCCAGAUUUGCUGCUUCAUCCUGGGGCUUUAGGCAAGUCCUCUUUCCUCCCAGAGCUCCAGUAUCCCUUCUAUCAAAUGAUGAUGUUCUGCCUUUCUCCUAGGAUGGCUGUGGAGAUCCAGGGAGGCAGUGGCCAUAGGGAUGCUAUGUUAACUGCAGAUGCAGCCGUAGGAGCACUUUGCUAACUGCCAACAAUCACUAUCGGUGUUACCUGAGGAGCGUCAGCCUUGAUAGGUACAUGCUUUGCUGCCUGCUGCAUGAAAGGUCUGCCUGCCCUGCUGCCCCAGCCCCACACGGGGGGCAUACCUGGGACCUCAGAGCCAGGCUCCCUGCCCCUCCCUUCUGGAGCUGCAGACUUGCUCUUUGCUCUUUCUGUCCUUGU